ACAAACAAACAAACAAAAUACCUUACACUUAGACUGUUGCUCUGUCCAUGGAAUACCCUAAUCUUGUUGCUUAGCAACCAAAGCUUACUGUUUACAAACUACAUUGUGUGGCAGAAGAAUUGUGUAUUGAGAAUAUUAUUAAUAAUAAAUUCAAUCAUCAUUACACAAGGAUGUGCAGUACACUGAUGUCAUCAUGGGCUGAGAAGAAAGUGGUGGAAGAAAGGUCAUACCUACGAGACACAUACACUCCAUGACACACUCCACUGUCAGGGCAGCUGAAAAGGUCAACUCCCCAAGAAAGUUCUUCACCUCCACAACACCUCCACACACUCUCUCUCCCUCUCUCUCUCUCUCUCCCUCUCUCUCUCACACACACACACACACACACACACACACACACACUCUCUCGCACGCACACAGACCUGCCUGCUGGAUCCAAAUCAUGAUUGAUGAAGCCUGCAUUAGUGUAACGUUAUAGGGGACAGUGACUGGAUCUGUCCUUCAGUGACAUCACCGAGAUCUGAGCCGCACUGCAUUAGUAUCGAGCUGUGCAGUCCAUUAGCGUCCUCAGGAGGAAGCUGCAGCGUGCACACGAAAUGCAGGGCGAGGCGGGGGAAAGCAGGCUGCAAAUAGGGACAAAUUUCAGUGCUAUUGUACAUCCUGGUUUCCUUCACCGGCAUCUAAGCAAGGCGUGUUCAGCAUGGUUCCGAUCGUUAUAUAGAGCGGAAUUCAUUUGGAAAUUCACACAAAGAAUAUGUGGUCUUGUGCGAUGAAAAUCCAUUGCGCUGCAAUGGCUGAGCUGCAUUACUAGCAGGUUUAGUGCAUGCGGCUCUUUCAUCAUUUAGUCGUUUAGGAGUUUUAAGCCCUCGGUGAGCUUUAAGGAGUUCUGUGGACGUCACCAAACGUAAAUCAGCCGUGCCGUGCACACGCGUGGUCAUUUUACAGCUAUUCAUCACACGUGUAAGUACGAAGAAAAUCAGGGUUCCUGAAAUUCUGCAAAUCUAGCGAGAAGUUUUAGUUCACUUUGUCCGACAAAAACAUUAAACACAAGACUGAUAAACGAGUCCUCUUGGAUUUAUUACUCUUAUAUCUUGUUGUAACAGUUCAAUGCCAACAGGUCUGUUCAGGCAAAC